rnacentral:rRNA from 1 species
CCUACGGGUGGCAGCAGUGAGGAAUAUUGGUCAAUGGACGCGAGUCUGAACCAGCCAAGUAGCGUGAAGGAUGACUGCCCUAUGGGUUGUAAACUUCUUUUAUAUGGGAAUAAAACGUUCCACGUGUGGGGUUUUGUAUGUACCAUAUGAAUAAGGAUCGGCUAACUCCGUGCCAGCAGCCGCGGUAAUACGGAGGAUCCGAGCGUUAUCCGGAUUUAUUGGGUUUAAAGGGAGCGUAGGCGGUUUGAUAAGUCAGUUGUGAAAGUUUGCGGCUCAACCGUAAAAUUGCAGUUGAAACUGGCAGUCUUGAGAACAGUAGAGGUGGGCGGAAUUCGUGGUGUAGCGGUGAAAUGCUUAGAUAUCACGCAGAACUCCGAUUGCGAAGGCAGUUCACUGGACUGCAACUGACACUGAGGCUCGAAAGUGUGGGUAUCAAACAGGAUUAGAUACCCGAGUAGUC